AUUGAACGCUGGCGGCAGGCCUAACACAUGCAAGUCUGGCGCGCGGCGGACGGGUGAGUAAUGUAUGGGGAUCUGCCUGAUGGCGGGGGAUAACUACUUGACACGGUCGCUAAUACCUCAUACCAUCAUAUGAACCCAUAUGGGAUUAGCUAGUAGGUAAGGUAACGGCUUACCUAGGCGACGAUCCCUAGCUGGUCUGAGAGGAUGCUCAGCGACACUGGGACUGAGACACGGCCCAGACUCCUACGGGAGGCAGCAGUGGGGAAUAUUGCACAAUGGGCGCAAGCCUGAUGCAGCCAUGCCGCGUGUAGGAAGAAGGCCUUCGGGUUGUAAAGUACUUUCAUUCGGGAGGCGUUACCGACAGAAGAAGCACCGGCUAACUCCGUGCCAGCAGCCGCGGUAAUUC
rnacentral:rRNA from 1 species